CCUACGGGGGGCAGCAGUGGGGAAUAUUGGACAAUGGGGGCAACCCUGAUCCAGCCAUGCCGCGUGUGUGAAGAAGGCCCUCGGGUUGUAAAGCACUUUCAGUGAGGAAGAACGCCUGGUGGUUAAUACCCAUCAGGAAAGACAUCACUCACAGAAGAAGCACCGGCUAACUCCGUGCCAGCAGCCGCGGUAAUACGGAGGGUGCGAGCGUUAAUCGGAAUUACUGGGCGUAAAGCGCGCGUAGGUGGCUUGAUAAGCCGGUUGAGAAAGCCCCGGGCUCAACCUGGGAACGGCAUCCGGAACUGUCAAGCUAGAGUGCAGGAGAGGAAGGUAGAAUUCCCGGUGUAGCGGUGAAAUGCGUAGAGAUCGGGAGGAAUACCAGUGGCGAAGGCGACCUUCUGGACUGACACUGACACUGAGGUGCGAAAGCGUGGGUAGCAAACAGGAUUAGAUACCCUUGUAGUC
rnacentral:rRNA from 1 species